rnacentral:misc_RNA from 1 species
CUUUAUGGGCUGUGCCAUUUGAGGUUUUUCUCUUUUUUUUUUUUUCUCCCUAAUUGAUCACUUCUUCCUGUAGUGCGACAUGCUUCUCAUGUGAUAUAUAUUUUGUUCAUAGUACUAUGCCUAUGAGGAUUAGGUUUCUCUGUUUAUGUAAACUUUGCACAAUAAAGUAUGAAUUUGUAUGUUCUGCUUGCUAUUGCACACAUAUUAUUUAAGCUAAAAGAUGAG